UGCAGCAAGGCAAAAAGGCCAUAAUUCAGUGAACUUUCUGCACAUCAGUACAAAAACACUGAUUUUCAGUUAUUGCCGUAAAUGUAGUUAUAAAAAAAUAAAAUUGUGUACUUAAACAUUUUAAGAAAUACAAGUAUUACAAGAAAAACAAAAAAGGAAAAUAUUAAGACAGUUUGCAAAUCAGAAGACAAACAAAAGCAACCACUCAUCUCUCGAAGGGAAAUCCAGUAAAGGCACCAAUUCAAGAAAUUAGGAUUACCUGAAGAAGAUUCCGGAAGCAGCAAAAUUUUUGGCCACCACGGGCUGUUCUCGUUUCAAUGAGUCUUCACUGCUUGUGGUCGUAGAAGGAGAUGAUUGUACCUUCUCAUUUUCUAGUUCUUUCUUCACUUGUGCCUGAAAUAUUUAGUAAUAAAACAACAAUAUUUAAA